CCUACGGGAGGCAGCAGUGAGGAAUAUUGGUCAAUGGACGCAAGUCUGAACCAGCCAUGCCGCGUGCAGGAAGACGGCUCUAUGAGUUGUAAACUGCUUUUGUACGAGGGUAAACGCAGAUACGCGUCUCUGUAUGUAAGUAUCGUAUGAAUCAGGAUCGGCUAACUCCGUGCCAGCAGCCGCGGUAAUACGGAGGAUUCAAGCUUUAUCCGGAUUUAUUGGGUUUAAAGGGUGCGUAGGCGGUCGGAUAAGUUAGAUGUGAAAUCCCGAGGCUCAACUUGGGAAUUGCCUCUGAUACUGGUCGGCUUGAGAGUAGUUGCGGUAGGCGGAAUGUAUGGUGUAGCGGUGAAAUGCUUAGAGAUCAUGCAGAACACCGAUUGCGAAAGCAGCUUACCAAGCUACUUCUGACGCUGAGGCUCGAAAGCGUGGGGAGCAAACAGGAUUAGAUACCCGGGUAGUC
rnacentral:rRNA from 1 species